ACAAAUAGAAAACAAACAAACAACACCAAUGACUAGAUCAGAGAAGCGAACUUCUCUUCUCUUUUAUUUAUAAUUAAUUUAUUUAUUAAACAUUAACCAGCGUAAUAGUACAGCCACAUACAGAAAAACACAGUCCCACAAUUGUGCUUAUGCUGCUGCUGCUGCUUCUGCAAAGUCUGCUGCUCCACCAACACAGUUUCCAUUUUCUUCCCAGCAAGAAACCAGAAGCAGAAGAAGAAGAAAAGAAAUACUAAAAUAGAGCCAUCCAAUCCAAAAUCUGUACUUUUCCCCCCCAUUUCUAUCCUGCUUCUUCUUCCCAUUUGUUUAUAUCUUCUCCUUCUCACUUGAACAGAAAAGAAAGAUCCAAACCAUCAUUACCACCUAACCAAAACUCCACUUUUUCUUUUCGAAAUCCAGGUUGGUCAACAAAAUGUGUCUUAACUCUUAAACCCUACUGAACAAUCUGGAGAAAGUCUCUCUGUUUUUCUUUAAUUAGCUUGUUUCAUCCUUCCAAAGCAUCGAAGAUGUCGACUUUAAGCAGUACCCAGUUGGAAAGGGAGCAGCAUCAGCAUCAUUUCAGCCCCAGCAGUAGUGACGUGUCGUCCUUCUUUGGGGCGAACCAUAGGAACUCCAC
rnacentral:lncRNA from 1 species